AGAGUUUGAUCAUGGCUCAGGACGAACGCUGGCGGCGUGCCUAAUACAUGCAAGUCGAGCGGACUUGAUGAGGAGCUUGCUCCUCUGAAGGUUAGCGGCGGACGGGUGAGUAACACGUAGGCAACCUGCCUGUAAGACUGGGAUAACUACCGGAAACGGUAGCUAAUACCGGAUAAUUUAUCGAUUCGCAUGAAUUGAUA
rnacentral:rRNA from 1 species